UUCAGUCACAUAGACAAUGUCCCAAGCUUCUGACCUUCAGGCUAGACUCCUCCCAGUUACCUAGCAACAGCAAGAUAACACUGCCCACUCUAAGAGGGGCUGCUUGGCCACUCCUUGCUCUCUUAAGCCUUUACUUUCCUUACUCUCUCUCCCUCUUACUGUCUCUGUCUUACUCUCUUAAGCUUUUACCUCUCUUUCUUUAAGCUUUCUUCCUCUCUAGCCUUUCUUCUCUCUCUCUCCUUUUCCCCUUCUCUCCUCUUGGCCAUGGCCUGUCUCUCUGUUUCUACUUUCUCUCUUUCCCCCUGCCUUUCUACAAUUAAGCUAUAAAACCAGAUAGACUGUCUCUGUUCAUCAAGGCCCACUGUGCUUGUGCUUAUGAUCAGAUAGGCUUUCUCCUAAUGAGCCGUGCCUAAUCUCCUCACAGAAAGACUUCCAAUGCUGCAGCCAUGGACGAGACUAAGGGACGCCUCCCCCCUACCUCUCUCUCUCUCUCUCUCUCUCUCUCUCUCUCUCUCUCUCUCUCUCUCUCUCUCUCUCUCUCUCUGCCCUCUUCCCUGGGGCCCCUAUUCUGUUCUCAGCUCCUCUGCCAUAUCCAGUGUGGGAUGCCAGAGACUGAGAACAUGGUUCUGGGGCUGCCCCUUGUCUACCUUCCAGCUGUGUGGGGUCAGUAGUUUCACACAGCUAUAGAUGCCCACCCAGGGCCGAGUGGAAAACUUCCGGUAGUCCUCCCACAUCUGCCUGCCUAGAGCACAGCAACUCCGGCCGGACGCAGGCUCUCCCUCCCCUCUUCCCCCUACACCCACGCCCCAUAUUAGGUGAAGUAGAAAAUGGCUGUACUAAUACAUUUUAAUGAAUGGAUGGGACAGAACACCCAAGUUAUCAACUUUACUUUUUUCCUCUGUACUUUUUAUAGCUUCUUAGACAAAAGUUCCUUAAAAGAUUACCUCAUGGGCUGGAGAAACGUCUCAGCAGUUAAGAGCACUGACUGCUCUUCCAAAGGUCCUGAGUUCAAAUCCCAGCAACCACAUGGUGGCUUUUAACCAUCUGUAUUGAGAUCUGAUGCCCUCUUCUGGUGUGUCUGAAGAUAGCUACAGUGUACUAGUCAUAUAUAUAUAUAUGUGUGUGUGUGUAUAUAUAAUAAAUUAAAUUUUUUAAAAAAAGAUUACCUCAUAUAUAAAAUGUUACAAAAAGGAGAGUUUCAAAAAUGUAUCAAUGACAAAUUUAAAGCAGUGAUAUAUUAAGUUCAAGACAACAGUUUUCACAUGGCCUUGCCUUAUCAAAGUACACACCUGUAGCUUCAUCCCUGGACCUGAAUGUUUUUCCUUGAAGACAAAUUUGUUCCAAGCCUGUUUCUCCUUUUAGUGUAAUUAUGAAUGCUCAUUGUAUUGCUUAUUUGGAAAACUUUACUUAGUUUUAUGAGGAAUGGGCACACUAUAAAAAAAUAUUCCUUACAUUAUUUUAAUCAAACCAGGAACUCCAUAAAAUCAUUAAUUCUUCUAAAAGCAUUAAUUCAUCAAAGUUCAUCUUCAUGUUGAUCUGAAGGAAAUUUACCCAAUAAGAGUGGCUGAUGCCGACAUAUCAUUCAAUUACGUAAUAGUGAUAAAAAGGUAUAUAUAUCAUCUGCAAGAAGCAGUCCUGAUGUGAAAUCUCUUGGGACCUUCCUUCUAAGAGCUCACCCAUCUUAGGCCACGCAAAAAGAGGUAGGCUCCAUAUACGAAGGCCUCCUGCUUGACUUAGCCUUUCCUAGAUGGCUCCUGACACUCAGAUCCUUUUGGUGGGGAGCCUAGAGGGAGACUGCUGCACUUCUGCUACAUAUGUGCCUAGGACCUCAUUCCAGCCCAUGUGUGCACUUUGGUUGGUGGCUCAGUCACUGGGAGCUCACAGAGGUCCAGGCUAGUUGACCCUACUGGUCUUCCUGUGGGGUUCCCACCUACUCCAGGGACUUCAAUCUUUUCCCCAACUCUUCCACAAAAUCUCCAAUCUCUGUACAAUGUGUGGCUUUGGGUAAUGCAUCUGUAUGAGUCAGCAGCUGGGUAGAGCCUCUCAGGAUCUUUAUCCUAGGCGCCGGCCUACAAGCAUAACAGAGUAUCAUUAAUAAUGUUAGAGAUUAGUAGUUACCCAUGUCAUGUGUUUCAAGAUGGGCUGGUAUUGGUUGGCUAUUUUUUCAGUCUCUGCUCCAUCUUUGUUUUUUCAAUUUUUUUUAGACAGUAAAAAUUUUGCUUCAUGACACAGAACACAUUGUUAUUGCUACAUGAAAGCUAUUCCACUAGCUAUUAUUUAACUGAGAAU
rnacentral:lncRNA from 1 species